GGAUCUAGUUAUUAACGUAUCAAAUACAUCCUUUAAUCAAAAAGACUGUUAGUUACGUCUUAAGAACCCAUACAACAUUUAAGCGUCGUAUGACUUCUUUUCAAUAGCUGGACUUCCUUAUGAUUGUUUGACCAGGUCAAACCUAAUCUUAGCCAUCCAAAUCUCAUGCCAUAAUCUGAUUAAGGUCUUGGAUUUAAUUUAAAACCCUGGGAGAGAAUUGAUACAUGAAAAGUUACGAAGAACUUUUCAGCCUUCUAGAAUUGGCGCCACC
rnacentral:lncRNA from 1 species